AUACGUAAGGGGCGAGCGUUGUUCGGAAUUAUUGGGCGUAAAGGGCGCGUAGGCGGUCAUCCAAGUCUGGUGUUAAAGACCGGGGCUUAACUCCGGGAGGGCGCUGGAAACUGGGUGGCUUGAGUUUGGGAGAGGGAGCUAGAAUUCCUGGUGUAAGGGUAAAAUCUGUUGAGAUCAGGAAGAAUACCGGUGGCGAAGGCGAGCUUCUGGACCAAAACUGACGCUGAGGCGCGAAAGCAUAGGGAGCAAACAGGAUUAGAUACCCUGGUAGUCUAUGCUGUAAACGAUGUGCACUGGGUGUUGGGCCGUUUAGGCUCAGUGCCGAAGCUAACGUGUUAAGUGCACCGCCUGGGGAGUAUGCCCGCAAGGGUGAA
rnacentral:rRNA from 1 species